GACCCAGUAGCCUAAAGGAUACAGCAUCAGCAUUCAAAGCUGGGGAUUGUGGGUUCAAGUUCCUACUUGGGUCA
rnacentral:tRNA from 1 species